UACGUAGGGGGCAAGCGUUGUUCGGAAUUACUGGGCGUAAAGGGCGCGUAGGCGGCAUGGCAAGUCGGGAGUGAAAGGCCUGGGCUCAACCGAGGAACUGCUUUCGAGACUGCCAAGCUAGAGUGCGGAAGGGGCAUCUGGAAUUCCCAGUGUAGCGGUGAAAUGCGUAGAUAUUGGGAGGAACACCAGUGGCGAAGGCGGCUACCUGGACCGGUUCUGACGCUGAGGCGCGAAAGCCAGGGGAGCAAACGGG
rnacentral:rRNA from 1 species